CUUCGGUGAUGAUUCGAUGACGAGUCAGAAAUGGGCACCCCACUGCUGAGAGCGUCUUAUACGGGGCCACGUUCUGUGGGCCUGGGCUAGGGGGCUCUGGCAGAGGUGCCCAGUUCAUUGGAUGAGCUUGAGGCAUUUGUCUGAGAAGG